rnacentral:rRNA from 1 species
AGCCAGACUCCUACGGGAGGCAGCAGUGGGGAAUAUUGCACAAUGGGGGAAACCCUGAUGCAGCGACGCCGCGUGAGCGAUGAAGUAUUUCGGUAUGUAAAGCUCUAUCAGCAGGGAAGAAGAUGACGGUACCUGACUAAGAAGCCCUGGCUAACUACGUGCCAGCAGCCGCGGUAAUACGUAGGGGGCAAGCGUUAUCCGGAUUUACUGGGUGUAAAGGGAGCGUAGACGGCGAUGCAAGCCAGAUGUGAAAGCCCGGGGCUCAACCCCGGGACUGCAUUUGGAACUGUGUGGCUGGAGUGUCGGAGAGGCAGGCGGAAUUCCUAGUGUAGCGGUGAAAUGCGUAGAUAUUAGGAGGAACACCAGUGGCGAAGGCGGCCUGCUGGACGAUGACUGACGUUGAGGCUCGAAAGCGUGGGGAGCAAACAGGAUUAGAUACCCGAGUAC